GUGGCUUCUGCUGGGUGAAUGUGACUGAUUUCCCCUCCAGUCUCUGGGCAGGACACAGAAUCAGCAACUCCCUGGGGCGUUACUUCCUUCUGGCUCUGACUCCCGCCUUUGUUACCCUUCUUAUCAGCCAGGAAAAGGCUGUGGCUUCAGGCAUGAAUCCACAGACUGGAGCCUGGAGCUGGCACUGCAGCAUUCUAUCACAGUAUUAUGGACGUCCUUGAAUCUGACCGAACAAGAGAAAGGUUGCCCCAUCCUGGAAACAGUGGGGAGGUGAUGUUGGCUCCGGAGAAAAAUGAAGGGUGUCCCCAGAGGAAACCUCACAGCCCACUGGGGAGCACAAAAGUCUUGCAGGACGAAUAAAGAACUGCGGCUGAAACCUUCCAGCUACAGUCCCCGUGCUUCUCCUGAUGUUGAGGGCAACCGCAGUGGGGCCCAUGUAAUUCAAUGCUGACCACUCCUGACCUUGCUGGGUAACCACUAACAGACUUCAGCCAACCUCUACUCUGUCUCUUAAAAGCUGAUUCCCCUCCUACCUUGGCACUACCCAGAUGCUUUGAAAACAGACACCCUGCCUACUUCUGGCUCAGGCCAGCAUCUUUCCUGCAGCUCUGCCAAGAGACCCCUCUCCAGGGACUAGUCCAGGACUUCUGGGCUCAGUGAGUGUCAUCCCACCUCAGGGAAGCCAGCAUUUUGGAUUGUGUGCCGUUUUCUGACUGGGCUGAGCACUGAAGAGCUCUGUGUGCUGUUUUCUGACUGGGCUGAGCACUGAAGGGCUCUGUGUGCCGUUUUCUGACUGCGCUGAGCACUGAAGGGCUCUGUGUGCCGUUUUCUGACUGGGCUGAGCACUGAAGGGCUCUGUGUGCCGUUUUCUGACUGUGCUGGGCACCGCUGCUUCAGUCAUCAGAGGAAAGAACUGCUCAACGUGCUGAACGGUGGACAAACAAGUUUGCCGAGGAAGUGAUUCUGAGGCUACAAAACAACCUGAAUCCACAGGAGACAAACCACCAAGGACACAAAACAAGGAGUCCCUCCGUUCAGGAGACAGCUCCCCAGGGAGAGGACUGCCACAAGGUGUCCUCGCACACAGAGCUUUCACGUGUCAGAAAUGAUUACUGGUGACUCGGUAUGUACUAAGGAGAUGUGGAAUGUUCGGCAAGCACCUCUUCCUGGACACCUGCACAGCCCCAAGAGAUACAAAACGACGACAUCUUUAACAUACGGGGCACAAGUGUCUGGCACUAGAUCCUUUUCCCGAAGUCCCUAAUAAGGGCUGUGACUCAGUGUAGGCAUCUAUCGUUACAAAGCUGUCCCCACCCAGUUGGCAAAUAAUAACAGUUGGGGGGGGGUGUCAAAUAAAAGCAGGAAAGGAGAUGAGUCCCUCCAGAUUAGAUUUCUAAACUAAGGUGCAAGAGUGUCAUGGUUUUUCAGUGGGGUCUGACAGCACAGACCUAUAGGCCCCCGAACUUGAGAGACUGAGCAAGAAGGAUUGCUCCCCGUGCGAGUGUGACCAAACACACAUGCAUGAAAAUGUGGCAAUGAGUGAGACAUGUGAGUUCAGCCUAUGAUCCCAGUACUUGGAGGGUGGAAAGCAAGCAGGGAGAAGGAGGAGGGAAAGCUGUCAUAAUGAAGCCUGUACGUUUGUGAUUAAUAAAUGCUAAUAGGAACCUGGGGCUGGGGGUUGGGGAUUUAGCUCAGUGGUAGAGCGCUUGCCUAGGAAGCGCAAGGCCCUGGGUUCGGUCCCCAGCUCCGAAAAAAAAAGAACCAAAAAAAAAAAAAAAAAAAAAAAAAAAAAGAAAGGAACCUGGGGCUGUGGGCAUGGCUCAGUUGGGGACCUGAGUUCUGAUCACCAGCACCCACAUAAAAUAGCAGGCCCACUUACAGUCAGCACAAAGGAGUAGAGGCAGGGGGAUCCCUCGAACAUGCUGACCUGCCAGUCCAGCCAAAACAGUAAGUUCUAGGUCUAAUGACAGGCUCUGUCCCCAAAAAUAGAGUGGAGAAUGACAAAAGACACCUGACAUUAAUCUCUGGCCUUCAAAGGGUCAUAAUGCACGCAUGGGCAUCUGACCCUGCAUGUACACAUACACGCAGACACACACAUACCGAGAGAGAGAGAGAGAGAGAGAGAGAGAGAGAGAGAGAGAGAGAGAUGCAUGUGUACAUAUAUAGACACGCCUAUGCAUAUACACAAUUACAACAAAGAAUUUUUAAAAGAAACCAAAAGAAUGAUCAUAGGGUUUCGGGAUGAUAUUGGGGCUCAGAAAACAACGCCCCGACAUUUAACAGCUGACAUGCUAAAUGAAAGGAACCUCAAGGCUUGAGGAGCUGAGAGUCAAGCUGUCCCCAGCCUAUUCUAGUUCUCACCUUCCCCCAGACAGGAGGGGACUCCCUCUGAAAUUCCCAACCAAGACCAAAGACUCUUCAGAGAAAUGCCUUGGUCUGGGACUCAUUCCCUACCUAGGGUUGUUAACGAGGGAAAAAUUAAUCAAAGAGACUGAGACCAAACACUUUUUCUUUCUAUUCUGGAGCAGUCCUGGGGAUGUUCUAAGAGGCUUUGUGACUUGUUUUGUCUCCACACAGCCUGUCCUCUCUGUCCCAUAACUUGUCCCAGCCCUCUCAGAACAUAGAGGAGCCGUAUCCCAGAAUCUGCCUGGCCCCAGACCCAGUCAUUCCCCCACAAGUUACAGAUGAAUCCCUCUAGAGUAUAGUCUCAUUUCUCUCCCCCUCUGCAGAGAAGGAGCCUAAGAAGUUUCCGAUGUCCCUGGGUAUCAGGUAAUCCCCUCUACUACUUCUUGAGUGAUGUAAAGGUCUAUAGCAUGAAUUUUAGUUUCUUUAAAAACACAGACAUGUUAUAGGAAUGUGUUUUCAUUUUUUAAAAGAUUUCAUUUAUUUUAUGUAUGAGAGUACAGUGUUUCUGUCUUCAGACACACCAGAAGAGGACAUCAGUUCCCUUUAUAGAUGGUUGUGAGCCACCAUGUGGUUGCUGGGAAUUGAACUCAGGACCUCUGUGUAGAGCAGCCAGUGCUCUUAACUGCUGAGCCAUCUCUCCAGACCUUGUGUUAUUUUAAUCCCAGGUAUGGGAUAUGGAACUGCUUCAGAUGGUCCAUAGCAGCUGACAAUUUGUCUGGUGCUCCAGCAGGGGUGUGAUCUUGUCAAUUUCAGAUAGUUUAUGCAAGUGACAUUUGAAAUUCUGGGGACUCUUGAAAGGGUAUAAAAAAGCUAGAGCCC